UUUAUGGAGAGUUUGAUCCUGGCUCAGGAUGAACGCUGGCGGCGUGCCUAAUACAUGCAAGUCGAGCGAACGGACGAGAAGCUUGCUUCUCUGAUGUUAGCGGCGGACGGGUGAGUAACACGUGGAUAACCUACCUAUAAGACUGGGAUAACUUCGGGAAACCGGAGCUAAUACCGGAUAAUAUUUUGAACCGCAUGGUUCAAAAGUGAAAGACGGUCUUGCUGUCACUUAUAGAUGGAUCCGCGCUGCAUUAGCUAGUUGGUAAGGUAACGGCUUACCAAGGCAACGAUGCAUAGCCGACCUGAGAGGGUGAUCGGCCACACUGGAACUGAGACACGGUCCAGACUCCUACGGGAGGCAGCAGUAGGGAAUCUUCCGCAAUGGGCGAAAGCCUGACGGAGCAACGCCGCGUGAGUGAUGAAGGUCUUCGGAUCGUAAAACUCU
rnacentral:rRNA from 1 species